rnacentral:rRNA from 1 species
GACGAACGCUGGCGGCGUGCUUAACACAUGCAAGUCGAACGGUAAGGCCCUUCGGGGUACACGAGUGGCGAACGGGUGAGUAACACGUGGGUGAUCUGCCCUGCACUUCGGGAUAAGCCUGGGAAACUGGGUCUAAUACCGGAUAGGACCACUGCCUGCAUGGGUGGUGGUGGAAAGCUUUUGCGGUGUGGGAUGGGCCCGCGGCCUAUCAGCUUGUUGGUGGGGUGAUGGCCUACCAAGGCGACGACGGGUAGCCGGCCUGAGAGGGUGACCGGCCACAAUGGGACUGAGAUACGGCACAGACGCCUACGGGAGGCAGCAGUGGGGAAUAUUGCACAAUGGGCGCAAGCCUGAUGCAGCGACGCCGCGUGAGGGAUGACGGCCUUCGGGUUGUAAACCUCUUUCAGCACCGACGAAGCGCAAGUGACGGUAGGUGCAGAAGAAGGACCGGCCAACUACGUGCCAGCCGCCGCCGUAA